UUCCUGGUGGGUCAUGCAGUCGAGCGCAGGAAGCCGUCUGAACCCUUCGGGGGGACGACGGUGGAAUGAAAGGCGGACGGGUGAGUAACACGUAAAGAACCUGCCCAUAGGUCUGGGAUAACCCCGAGAAAUCGGGGCUAAUACCGGAUGUGUCAUCGGACCGCAUGGUCCGCUGAUGAAAGGCGCUCCGGCGUCGCCCAUGGAUGGCUUUGCGGUGCAUUAGUUAGUUGGGGGGGUAACGGCCCCCCAAGGCGACGAUGCAUAGCCAACCUGAAAGGGUGAUCGGCCACAUUGGGACUGAAACGCGGCCCAAACUCCUACGGAAGGCAGACAGUAGGGAAUCUUCCACAAUGGACAAAUAGUCUGAUGGAGCAACCCCGCGUGAACAAUGAAGGCUUUCGGGUCGUAAAGUUUUGUUGUAAGGGAAGAACAAGUGCCGCAGGCAAUGGCGGACUUGGAGGGAACCUUGCGAAAAAGCCACGGCUAACUACGGGCCAGCAGCCGCGGUAAUACGUGGGUGGCAAGGGUUGUCCGGAAUUAUUGGGCGAAAAGCGCGCGCAGGCGGCCUUUUUAAAGUCUAAUGUGAAAACCCCCCGGCUCAACGGGGGAGGGGCUAUUGGAAAACUGGAGGUUUUGAAUAUAGGAAAAAAAGGAACUGGAAUUUCCCCCUGUAGCGGUUAAAUGCGUGAAAAAUGGGGGAGAAACCACCCGUGGUGAAGGCCAACCCUUUUGGCCUAUAAAUUGACGCUUGAGGCGCGAAAAGCGGGGGGCAUCAACCAGGUAUUAAUACCCCCCGGUGUAUUUCCACCCUGUAAACCGAUAGAGGGCGAAAGUGUGGGAAGGUUUCCCGCCACCUUCCAGGGCUGACACAUUAUGCCAAUAACCCAUCCCCCCCUUGGGAGAGGAGGGCUCCCCAGCCUAAAAUCUACAAGGAAUCUUGAGGGGGACCCCUUUACCACGCGAUGGAUUCUGUGAGAUUAUAUUUCGCAAACUACCGAUAAAACCCUUCUCCAGCUCCUGAAAUUCCCCCUGAACCUUUUCCGAAAAGUACCUCUCCCCGUUCGCCGGCCCAGUGGCUGCACAGAGCGUUGCUCUGCUUUUCACUCCAGCUCCUUUCUACGAGACCAGAUUGGGCUUUCAGCGCAACCCUUGUCCUUAGUUGCCAGCAUUUGGUUGGGCACUCUAGGGAGACUGCCGGUGACAAACCGGAGGAAGGUGGAGGAUGACGUCAAAUCAUCAUGCCCCUUAUGAGUUGGGCUACACACGUGCUACAAUGGCCGGUACAAAGGGCAACGAAGCCGCGAGGUGGAGCCAAUCCCAGAAAGCCGUUCUCAGUUCGGAUUGCAGGCUCCAACUCGCCUUCAUGAAGUCGGAAUCGCUAGUAAUCGCAGGUCAGCAUACUGCGGUGAAUACGUUCCCGGGUCUUGUACACACCGCCCGUCACCCCACGAGAGUUUGCAACACCCGAAGUCGGUGAGGUAACCUUAAGGAACCAGCCCCGUAGAGAGUACAGUAUAGAGUGACCCUACGGC
rnacentral:rRNA from 1 species